rnacentral:rRNA from 1 species
CAGGACACAUUUGAACAUCGACAUUUCGAACGCACAUUGCGGUCCGUGGAGAAACAUCCAGGACCACUCCUGUCUGAGGGCCG